rnacentral:rRNA from 1 species
UACGGAGGGGACUAGCGUUGUUCGGAAUUACUGGGCGUAAAGCGCACGUAGGCGGAUUUGUAAGUCAGGGGUGAAAUCCCGAGGCUCAACCUCGGAACUGCCUUUGAUACUGCAAAUCUCGAGUCCGGAAGAGGUGAGUGGAAUUCCUAGUGUAGAGGUGAAAUUCGUAGAUAUUCGGAGGAACACCAGAAGCGAAGGCGGCCAACUGGCCCGAUACUGACGCUGAGGCGCGAAAGCGUGGGGAGCAAACAGG